CAGGGACUUUGUAUUUUUACCAAGAAUUAUGAACAUCAGAAGUAAAUAAUAAUAACAACAAAUCCAAAUCCGAUCUGCAUACUACGGAAACAUAUAUAUAUUGGAUGUUUUAGUACACAUAUUACAAUAUCGCCCAUCUCAAUAGGAAAGGUCUGCAAAAAAGAAAAAAAAGUCUUACAAGGAACAAGGUAAUAUGAGAACAUGCAGGACAGCAACAUGGUAUUUGCUGCACAUACUCAAAAACCAAAAAGAUAUAUAAGAAGAACUAAAAUUGAAAGGAACCCAGAAAAAAGAAGGUGAUCGGACCAGGAGAGCUUCAUUCCCCCGUGAAUAUGGAUCGAUGCUAUCGACACCUACAUCACUAUGCUUGGCCUUGGAGGAGGAGGAGGAGGAGGAGGAGGAGAGACCUCAAACUUCUUUAAAUGGCAGCUCCAAGAACAAACACUCAUCUCUUGAAGUUGAGAGAGAAGCUUAAAUUGCUUCCAAUAUUGAACUUCCAAAACCAAAACGUUCAUGCUUAAUGUGACAAAUUCAAAAGCAGCCACCAUGGUUAUCAUGGGAGGGAGAAGGAAAGAGCUAGAGAAGUAGCUAGCUAGGGCAUGUUAUGAGGAACUCACAGAACAUAUAAACAUGGAUAUAUAUAUAUAUAGAUAUAGAAGUGGCUAGGAAAUUGGCUUUAUUUGCAGAGACAGACAGGUGAAAUAUUGUGAUGCACGCAUACUGUGGAGACCUAAUCUUAUAUUCCCGCAUGCACGUUUUUUCUCUUUAAUGAACAGUCUCAGGGGCACGUUUCCACAGGAAAAGGAAAGCCAAGAAAACAAAAGAUAUAGGACAGUGGAGGAGUUUUUUGUUUCGGAGGUGGGAUUCAUUUGAAGGGUAACAAAAUUUUCAAGGCAAAGCAAACUAGCAAAGCAUACAUGGUGCCCCAAAGGUAGGGCUAGCCUACCUCCUUGUAAAGCCAACCCCUUCAUCAAAAAGGAUCUUUAUCUAUGUUGGUCUUUGAAUUUUUUGCUCCUCUCUUCUCUUUUGGUCAGUUC
rnacentral:lncRNA from 1 species